UAGAGUUUGAUCCUGGCUCAGGAUGAACGCUGGCGGUAUGCCUAACACAUGCAAGUCGUACGAGAGUUUUUAACUCUAGUGGCGGACGGGUGAGUAACACGUGAGAAUUUGCCUUUAGGAGGGGGAUAACAAUUGGAAACGAAUGCUAAUACCCCAUAUGCUUUCGAGUGAAAUGGAUUUAUAUUUAUCCGCCUAGAGAGAAGCUCGCGGCUGAUUAGCUUGUUGGUAAGGUAAGAGCUUACCAAGGCGACGAUCAGUAUCUGGUUUGAGAGGACGAUCAGACACACUGGAACUGAGACACGGUCCAGACUCCUACGGGAGGCAGCAGUGGGGAAUUUUCCGCAAUGGGCGAAAGCCUGACGGAGCAAUACCGCGUGAGGGAAGACUGCCUAUGGGUUGUAAACCUCUUUUUUCAGGGAGGAAUCAAUGACGUGUACCUGAAGAAUAAGCAUCGGCUAACUCCGUGCCAGCAGCCGCGGUAAGACGGAGGAUGCAAGUGUUAUCCGGAAUCACUGGGCGUAAAGCGUCUGUAGGUGGUUUAAUAAGUCAACUGUUAAAUCUUGAGGCUCAACUUCAAAAUCGCAGUCGAAACUAUUAGACUAGAGUAUAGUAGAGGUAAAGGGAAUUUCCAGUGGAGCGGUGAAAUGCGUAGAUAUUGGAAAGAACACCGAUGGCGGAAGC
rnacentral:rRNA from 1 species